rnacentral:tmRNA from 1 species
GGGGGCGUAAAGGUUUCGACUUUGAGUGUGAAGCCCGGCUCGCAUGUCGAGGAUGAUUCGUUGGCCUCGUAAAAAAUCGGAUCAAACAAAUAAAUGCAGAUUACGAAGAUCUCGCUCUCGCGGCCUAAUUGAGCCACGACGUGUUCCGGCUGACGCCUGCUGGUCCGGAAUACGACGACAGCAGGCUGGCUUGGGAUGGAGCGACCGCUACCCCAAGUGAAUCGAUUUCGUGGACGCUCUGGAGAGGGAUGCGUGACGAUUCGCCCGCCCACUCCGAGAUCAAAGAUCGUCUAAACAUGUAGAAGGUUGUGUAGAUCAUUUUAAGGACACGGGUUCGACUCCCGUCGCCUCCACCA